UAGAUGAUCUGCUAAGAUGCCA
rnacentral:piRNA from 1 species